rnacentral:rRNA from 1 species
AUUGAACGCUGGCGGCAUGCUUUACACAUGCAAGUCGAACGGUAACAGGUUAAGCUGACGAGUGGCGAACGGGUGAGUAAUGCAUCGGAACGUGCCCGGUCGUGGGGGAUAACGCAGCGAAAGCUGCGCUAAUACCGCAUACGAUCUGAGGAUGAAAGCGGGGGACCGUAAGGCCUCGCGCGAUCGGAGCGGCCGAUGUCAGAUUAGGUAGUUGGUGGGGUAAAGGCUCACCAAGCCAACGAUCUGUAGCUGGUCUGAGAGGACGACCAGCCACACUGGGACUGAGACACGGCCCAGACUCCUACGGGAGGCAGCGGUGGGGAAUUUUGGACAAUGGGCGAAAGCCUGAUCCAGCAAUGCCGCGUGCAGGAAGAAGGCCUUCGGGUUGUAAACUGCUUUUGUACGGAGCGAAAAGGUCUCCUCUAAUACAGGGGGCUCAUGACGGUACCGUAAGAAUAAGCACCGGCUAACUACGUGCCAGUAGCCGCCGUAA